ACCAAAGAGCAUACCUACAACUAAACCAAAAUCUUUGUCACAGAACAUUUCCAGCUCCUUAGUGGCUUACAACCACUACUUAAAUAUCUUCCAAAAUAGUUUGCUUUUGGCAAAACUCAACAGAAAAAAAAGAGGGAAAUGCUGUCUACUUUGUUCUGGUUGCAGGUGAUACAUAUAGCAUGCACUCAGUAGUCCCAGGAUGUGAAAGGCUUCACAGACAGAAUGUUCAUAAGAAAGGGCUGCCAAGAUCUGAUGAAUCUAAGAUACAAUUGAUCUGAAAAUUUCAAAAAGCAUCCCUCAGAUACUGAAGAUUUGAAAUUUGGGACAAUACGUCAAACUACACUAUGGGGUCUAAAAGUUUGGGGUCACCAAAAUCCUCCAGGUAUGUGGCAUUAUUUUACUGAUUUUCUCAUCCUGGGGAAAUAACAGCAACUGUUAAUGACAGCAAUAUCACGUUCUUCUCUUGCCAUUAGAUUGUGGCGGAGUAAUAGAAGCACCCUUGAAUAUAGUUUUUGUAAGUUAAAAAGCACCAAGAACCAGAAGUGAGAUAUUUUUUCAGGUAUCAGAAAAGCCCUUUGCUUAGAACACUGAAAAAUAAUCACUGCUAUCACCUCCUGUAGCUGUCACACAAAUCAGAUGUUAACUCCUCUAUCUGUUCCUGUUUUUCUCACAGAUAAAGACUGCUCACAACAGUUUAGCACACUUUUUGGGAAGGAUUAAUCAACCCAUUUUGUUUCUUCUAAACGAAAUCUUUCUUUGCCUUGUCAAAACUAAUCUGUGCUCUCACCAGAGAGACAAGGGAAGCACUCCAAAGAGGAAGGAAUGAAUGGCAGAAAGUAAACCUCCAGAGAUUCAGCUCACAAAGGCUGUACCUGUUGUGCAGAUAGGCAAAGGACUUACGAAUUCCGGAGAAAUAACAGAAGCCCUGGAGAGGCAAUGGGCCUAGCCUGUUCUGUGAUUAAGUAAAGGUCAUUUGUGCUGUUCUUAUUUUUCCUUUUUCCAUUAAAUCAGCCCAGACAUUUAGCCU